rnacentral:lncRNA from 1 species
UUUUUUCCAGAGUUAACCCCAUAAUAUCAGACUAUGUUUUUUUUUUUUUUUGUGCGCGUCUUUGAUCUUUAAAAGUUUCUUUCAUGUCGCAGGUUGGUGUUCUUAUUGAGGAGCCAUUUCCAAUGUUAGCCCUUGAUGAGCUCUGCAUCGUAACACAGAACAAUAUAAGAGAAGCGAUAGCAACAGAGAAGGAUAUUCAAGCGAUGUUAAAGGGGAAAAGAAAGAGGCAUUCUUACAAACGUUCACCUAAUGGUUGCCCCAACACAUAGUGUAAACAGGGUAAUUGCCGAAGGCUGUGCUUAUUGUGAAAUGUUUUUCACAUUGGUCUUUGCCUUUUGCUAUCUGGAAUUUAGAUGUACAAAAGUACAGUUAAAUGAUUCAUAAAGAAAUGAUAAUCAUAGAAUAUCUAUGUAUAUUGUACACAAUUUUCUGAUAAAUAGAAAAUAAAUUAGCUUCAUAUUGACAUACUGUUUUCUUCUGCAACUUGUAGAGAAUGGUUCUAGAAUUCCGGCAAUUUCUUAUGGACCAAGAUAUCACAUGCCAGCUUCCAAGUGCUAGUUUCUAAACAUGUAACCAACUAAUUGAUGCCUAAUGAUAUGCAUUAACUAUCCCCAAGUUGUGGGUUUCUUCUCUUUCUCUUUCCCCAUGGUUGAAUUCUAUGGAAAUGCUUGAUGAAAAUUUUCUUGGAUUCUCAAAUAUACUUUUUAUCAUGUGCAAUGACAUUUUCAUUUUGAUUUUUACAAAAACACGAAGUGGCAAAUCAGGAAAGUAAACCAAGAGAAGUCACAUUUUGCCUGGUUCAGGGUAUAUGUAUGAAGAGAGAGCUGGCAUUGAAUACAUCCUCAUGUGCCCAUUUGUCUGCAACUUUUUCAGCUGUUUCCUGCCUAUAUAUAAUGGCGUUAUUUUAGAAGUAUUUCAAGCUGGAAGAUGUAGUUUUCUACAGCUUGUGGAGAUAUUGUUCAUGCCUCUGCAAAAGUUUAAAAUAUUUAGCUCAUUGCAGGAUCCAAUGGCAAUGAUCCCAACACUAAGUAAACAUAAUCCAAAUGCAGACUAGUGUAUGCUGAAUUACGAGAAAAAAAUAUUUUGGAGUGGAAAUUUAUCAAUGAUCUACUAAUAUGGACCACCCUCCUUAUCCCUGAACAACUUUCUGAUGUCAUGUGUCUGUUCCAAAAGAAAAUCCUUAUAAUUUGAUAAAUAAAUAAAUAAAAGUAGAACCUAGGGUUAUAUAGUCUUUCAAAAAGAUUGAAUUUACCGUUUGAGGAGCAGAUGGCCUGAAACUUUGCGUCGUGAUAGCAGAAGUGAUAGCCCGAGUUGUCGAAACUUGAAAGGAUCGAAAGAGUAAAAGAACUUGAGCUUGAGAAGUAGUGGUUUCCACUCUAUGAAUUUUUCUGUAUGGUUACUAAGAAAAAAAAAAAAAAGAUGAUGACUUUGACUUCCUUUCCUUUUCUCCUGUCUUGAUUUUGGUUCUUCAGGCAACUUUGCAUCUAAAAUUUUAUUCUGGCGGGUAGGAAUGAUAGAAAAACGGCGUAAUAUAGGCUUUAACUUUCGUAAGUGAACCAAGACUAAUACGACGUCACUUUUCAUAAAAUUGUCACAUUUUAAUUUUCGAGAAGAGAAAUCAGAACAGAGAGGAAAAAAGAAUACCUCUAAAAUUGACAAGACUUCCGUCUAAGCUCGAUUCGAGUUCUCAAAUUUCAAAACCCUAACGUCCUUCCAGAAGAAAAACAAAACAAGCAAUUU